CCCGUUCUGCCUGGGAAAGAGGAAGGGCGCACACAGCAGGCCUGGGAAAGUUCACUGAUGCUUGUCAUUUUUAAAAAAGGUAGCGAGAAAAAGCAACCUGACCUCCUGGUGGAUGCUUAUUACAUCGCUACAUCGUAUUUACAUAUGACAUAUGGUGCCUAACAUCAGAGAGCCUCAAAGCUUUUAAUGAGUGUUAACUCAUUAUUACCUGUGGAGAGUGUAGUGAGUAGUCAUCUAGUUUACAGCUGAAGGAACUGAGGCACAGGGAGAUCAAGUGCCUGAUUCAAGGUCAGCUACUCCAAGAUGCUACAGGGACCGGCCUUGAGUGCGGUAAUGUAGCUGUUACCUUUGUUCCCAUCCCAUGGGUGCAGUGGUAUAGGCAACACGCGUCCAGGAAUGAGAAUAGCGUGCCGUAGAAGAGAAAAUAAAAAUCAAGAAACUACAAUAAACAAGAAUGUGAUGUAUCCAUACAGAGGAAUAUUAUUGGACCAUAAAAAGCAAUGAAGUGCUGAUACGUGCCAUGAUGUGAUGAGCCCUGAAAACGUGCUUUUUAGUGAAAAAAGCUCUGGGUUGUAUGAUUUCCCUCAAACGAAAUGUCCAGAGCAGUCCUUCUGAUGAUGAGCCAGGUCUGGAAGGCCUGAGGGCAAUCUGAGAGACUUUUCUAAAUUUACAUCUGAACAUACCAGCCUGCUAAAGCCCUCCCACCACGUCCAGUCAUCUUGGGGAUACGACCUCGUGAGCAAGAAAGGAGGCCAUGUUUGAUCCAAGCCCACUUGGCAUUUCAGCCACUCCGGUAUUUGUUUGCACUCUCCUCCUUCCUGGAUGCUUCCUGCCCCUGCCUACAACUUGACACUCUUUUUUCCAGAAAAAUGCAGUUUGGUACCACCUUUCUACUGUCUGCCUUCCCCAGAAUUCACCAGAAUAAAUAAGAUUCUCCUCCUAUGUCA